GGUGAGGUUGAGCAGGUGCCAUGGAGGCCAGUUGGCUUUUAUAGUCAGAUGGGAGGGGCUUAAAGAAAAGAGUGACAGGACCUGACAGGUUGUAAAAGAUCCCUCUGGCUGGUGAGCGGAGACCACUGCAGAGGGCAAGCUGCAUCAGGGAACCCAAGCUGCAUCAGGGAGCCCAAGCAGAAGGCUGCUGCAGGUGGCAGCCAGUGUAGAAGGUCCCAAAGAUGAGGACUCCAGUAAGGUACCCAGUGGAAGCGCCUCUCAGCAGGCAUCGGCCGACUUCAGGAGGCUCCUGAUCAACAGAAGCAAGACUGUACAGCUGGACCAUCUUCAAGGAGACUGGAAUUAGACUUCCUCUUUUGAUCUGAAGACCAUGAAAAAAUUUGAGGAUAUGUUUCUAAACCAUUACAGAAAUCUUCGAGAAGAAAUGGACAGCAAGCAAAGACACUGUGGAACAAAGUACACUGGCUGGAGAGGGAAAUAAAUUCACAUGAGGUUCGAUAUAAGCACCACUCUCUGGCUCUGAUGCCUCUUUGAUGUGGAGGGCAUGAUGAGCACCUGUGAUCCUAGCACCCCAGAGGCUGAGGCAG
ensembl:lncRNA